GAAAUGCGAUAAGUAGUGUGAAUUGCAGAAUUCAGUGAAUCAUCGAAUCUUUGAACGCACAUUGCGCCCCUCGGUAUUCCGUGGGGCAUGCCUGUUCGAGCGUCAUCUACACCCUCAAGCUCUGCUUGGUGUUGGGCGUCUGUCCCGCCUCCUUCGCGCGCGGACUCGCCCCAAAUCCAUUGGCGGCGGCCCUUGCCUCCCUCUCGCGCAGCACAUUGCGCUUCUCGAGGCGCGGCGGACCGCGUCCAGCAAGCAACUGUCACACCGUCUUUGACCUCGGAUCAGGUAGGGAUACCCGCUGAACUUAAGC
rnacentral:misc_RNA from 1 species